rnacentral:rRNA from 1 species
AUUGAACGCUGGCGGCAUGCCUAACACAUGCAAGUCGAACGAGCGGCGGACGGGUGAGUAAUGUCUGGGAAACUGCCUGAUGGAGGGGGAUAACUCCUGGAAACGGUAGCUAAUACCGCAUACCAUCAGAUGUGCCCAGAUGGGAUUAGCUAGUCGGUGGGGUAAAGGCUCACCUAGGCGACGAUCCCUAGCUGGUCUGAGAGGAUGACCAGCCACACUGUAACGGAGACACGGUCCAGACUCCUACGGGAGGCAGCAGUGGGGAAUAUGGCAAAAUGGGCGCAAGCCUGAGGCAGCCAUGCCGCGGGUGUGAAGAAGGCCUUCGGGGUGUAAAGCACUUUCAGCGGGGAGGCGUUACCCGCAGAAGAAGCAACGGCUAACUCCGUGCCAGCAGCCGCGGUAAUAC